rnacentral:lncRNA from 1 species
CAUGCAAAGCCCUCCUCACGCCCUACUUUAAUGCACCAAAUGAGUGGAUAAGGAUGAUUGGUUGGCCAUUCAAAUUCAAAAUAAUGUUUGAAUUUGAAUGAGCAACCAAUCUUAGCGCCUUGACCUUAUCCUCUUUUAGCACCCCAUUUAUUACAUGAAAAAAUAUUUCUCAUGAAAUCACUCAUGCACAAAUUAAGCCAUGCCCUCCUCUUCUCACACCC